AUUGAACGCUGGCGGCAUGCCUUACACAUGCAAGUCGAACGGCAGCACGGGAGCAAUCCUGGUGGCGAGUGGCGAACGGGUGAGUAAUAUAUCGGAACGUGCCCAGUAGUGGGGGAUAACUGCUCGAAAGAGCAGCUAAUACCGCAUACGACCUGAGGGUGAAAGGGGGGGAUCGCAAGACCUCUCGCUAUUGGAGCGGCCGAUAUCAGAUUAGCUAGUUGGUGGGGUAAAGGCCUACCAAGGCAACGAUCUGUAGUUGGUCUGAGAGGACGACCAGCCACACUGGGACUGAGAAACGGCCCAGACUCCGACGGGAGGCAGAAGUGGGGAAUUUUGGACAAUGGGCGCAAGCCUGAUCCAGCAAUGCCGCGUGCAGGAAGAAGGCCUUCGGGUUGUAAACUGCUUUUGUCAGGGAAGAAAUCCUCUAGGUUAAUACCCUUGGGGGGAUGACGGUACCUGAAGAAUAAGCACCGGCUAACUACGUGCCAGCCGCCGCCGUAACAC
rnacentral:rRNA from 1 species